rnacentral:piRNA from 1 species
CAGAGGUGCAGUUCAGAACAAUGUGG